rnacentral:rRNA from 1 species
AUAUGGAUGGGCUCGCGUGACAUUAGCUAGUUGGUGGGGUAACGGCCCACCAAGGCGACGAUGUCUAGGGGCUCUGAGAGGAGAAUCCCCCACACUGGUACUGAGACACGGACCAGACUCCUACGGGAGGCAGCAGUAAGGAAUAUUGGUCAAUGGGGGCAACCCUGAACCAGCCAUGCCGCGUGCAGGACGACUGCCCUAUGGGUUGUAAACUGCUUUUGUUAGGGAAUAAACCCCACUACGUGUAGUGGGCUGAAUGUACCUAAAGAAUAAGGAUCGGCUAACUCCGUGCCAGCAGCCGCGGUAAUACGGAGGAUCCGAGCGUUAUCCGGAUUUAUUGGGUUUAAAGGGUGCGUAGGCGGCACUUUAAGUCAGGGGUGAAAGACGGCAGCUCAACUGUCGCAGUGCCCUUGAUACUGAAGUGCUUGAAUGCGGUUGAAGACGGCGGAAUGAGACAAGUAGCGGUGAAAUGCAUAGAUAUGUCUCAGAACACCGAUUGCGAAGGCAGCUGUCUAAGCCGUUAUUGACGCUGAUGCACGAAAGCGUGGGGAUCGAACAGGAUUAGAUACCCUGGUAGUCCACGCCCUAAACGAUGAUGACUCGAUGUUUGCGAUAUACCGUAAGCGUCCAAGCGA